rnacentral:tRNA from 1 species
GCACCCGUAGCUCAGUGGAUUAGAGCACUGCCCUCCGAAGGCAGGGGUCGCAAGUUCGAGUCUUGCCGGGUGCGCAA